rnacentral:rRNA from 1 species
UGCAGUCGAGCGAAUGGAUUGAGAGCUUGCUCUCAAGAAGUUAGCGGCGGACGGGUGAGUAACACGUGGGUAACCUGCCCAUAAGACUGGGAUAACUCCGGGAAACCGGGGCUAAUACCGGAUAACAUUUUGAACUGCAUGGUUCGAAAUUGAAAGGCGGCUUCGGCUGUCACUUAUGGAUGGACCCGCGUCGCAUUAGCUAGUUGGUGAGGUAACGGCUCACCAAGGCAACGAUGCGUAGCCGACCUGAGAGGGUGAUCGGCCACACUGGGACUGAGACACGGCCCAGACUCCUACGGGAGGCAGCAGUAGGGAAUCUUCCGCAAUGGACGAAAGUCUGACGGAGCAACGCCGCGUGAGUGAUGAAGGCUUUCGGGUCGUAAAACUCUGUUGUUAGGGAAGAACAAGUGCUAGUUGAAUAAGCUGGCACCUUGACGGUACCUAACCAGAAAGCCACGGCUAACUACGUGCCAGCAGCCGCGGUAAUACGUAGGUGGCAAGCGUUAUCCGGAAUUAUUGGGCGUAAAGCGCGCGCAGGUGGUUUCUUAAGUCUGAUGUGAAAGCCCACGGCUCAACCGUGGAGGGUCAUUGGAAACUGGGAGACUUGAGUGCAGAAGAGGAAAGUGGAAUUCCAUGUGUAGCGGUGAAAUGCGUAGAGAUAUGGAGGAACACCAGUGGCGAAGGCGACUUUCUGGUCUGUAACUGAC